AAACCCAGAUGGCAAAAAGUUUGAUAAAGUUAUUCAGGUUGAAGCAAAAAGUGAGAAGUUUGACAUGUUCAUGCACCUAGAUGUGAUGGUUACAAAGGAUUUUGAAGUGAAGGAAGGUGAUAAGUUUGCUAUGGCACAACGAGAUUGCAAGGCUCAAUCCUAAUACAAAAUCACCGUCGGAUUCUGCUCCAAUGUUCAGAAAUAAGAGUACAGAGGUUAGACCUUCCGAGAAGAUUUGUUCGAGUACAACAGAGAAAUAAGAGUACAGAGGUUAGACCUUCCGGGAAGAUUGGUUCGGGUACAACUGAGGUACUACAUCUCCGGAGAACUAUUCUUUUUUUACAAUUCUUUACUUUGAAAUUGAUAAAUUACAAAUUAUCCCAAAAGUUUAAACGGUUAGGAAAUGGAAAAUUUAAUUACUUGACCAUUAUUU